UAGCUCAGUUGGCAGAGCAGCUGACUCUUAAUCAGCGGGUCCCAGGUUCGAGUCCUGGUGCGCCCACCA
rnacentral:tRNA from 1 species